rnacentral:rRNA from 1 species
AGCUCCAAUAGCGUAUAUUAAAGUUGUUGCGGUUAAAAAGCUCGUAGUUGGAUUUCUGCCGAGGUUGACCGGUCUGCCCUCUGGGUAUGCAUCUGGCUCGACCUGGGCAUCUUCUUGGAGAACGUGUCUGCACUUGAUUGUGUGGUGCGGUAUCCAGGACUUUUACUUUGAGGAAAUUAGAGUGUUUCAAGCAGGCACACGCCUUGAAUACAUUAGCAUGGAAUAAUAAGAUAGGACCUCGGUUCUAUUUUGUUGGUUUCUAGAGCUGAGGUAAUG